rnacentral:rRNA from 1 species
UACGGAGGGUGCAAGCGUUAUCCGGAUUCACUGGGUUUAAAGGGUGCGUAGGUGGGCAGGUAAGUCAGUGGUGAAAUCUCCGGGCUUAACUCGGAAACUGCCAUUGAUACUAUCUGUCUUGAAUACCGUGGAGGUCAGCGGAAUAUGUCAUGUAGCGGUGAAAUGCUUAGAUAUGGCAUAGAACACCAAUUGCGAAGGCAGCUGGCUACACGAAUAUUGACACUGAUGCACGAAAGCGUGGGGAUCAAACAGG